ACGGAAUCCGAGGAGAUCAAAGAAGACUAGGGCGUGCGAGCAGGGGCCGUCUGGCAAUAAACCGGCCAAUGGGGGACUGCAAAAGCGGCGCCUGGAGCCUAUGGAGACCGUGUGUGGCUGGUGGGGGUGGGAUUUAAUGGGAUUUGGCGGGUUCUAAGGUAGGCGCGACGCACAGGUGGAGGUAGAGGAAGUGAAGAGUUUAAUAUUUAAAAGGACCUAAAAAUUGACUAUGGUUCUGGUCUAUAAGGAAGAUCCCGUGUGAUCUGUCGGCCUGGAUAUUGAUUUUUCACACGGGAGGUUUGGAUUUCACUCCUGGCAAUGGGACUGAGUAUAAGCAUUUAAAAGGUUUUAAACAGAGACAGGUUUUCUAAAAUUCAUCUUUGAUAACUCCAGCUCUGCACUCGCAACCCAUAAGUGAGGCUCAAGUGGAAAUUGACAACACUCUCUGUCUAAUCACCUCGUUUGAUAGUCAAAUGGAGAGGGUGGCUGAAGUCCUCUGCCGAAGAUUGGCCAUCUUGUAGUUAGGCAUAGUUCCCAUGUUUUUAUUUAAAUGGUAAGGUUUUUGUGAAUUUAUUCUUAUGCACUAGAGUGACUGAGUGAAUUUAUUUUUCAGGUUAGAUUUUCAAACAAGAACUUAUAACCCAGCAAGAAUGGGCCUUUGCCUGGAGAAGAAUCCAGACCAUGGGAUGAAUCCCCAAAUGCUAUUUCCAUCUGUAGAGCCUAGAGCACCCACCCCUACCAAGGAAGUCUUCCCAGAUAAUUUGUGUUUCAUAUGUAAAAGCAAGUUUUUUUUUUCAAAUGCUCAAAACCCAAGCAAGUUAAGCCCUUCCUUCCUUCCUUCCUUCCUUUCUUUUCUCUCUCUCUCUCUUUCUUUCUCUCUCUCUCUCUUUCUUUCUUUUUUUUCUUUUUUAGACAGGGUCUGUGUCCCCUAGGCUGGAGUGCAGUGGUAUGAUCAUGACUCAUUGCAGCCUCAACCUCCCAGGCUCAAGUGAUCCUCCCGCUUCAGCCUCUGGAGUACCUGGGACUACUGGCAUACACCACCACGCCCAUCUAAUUUUUAAAAAAGUUUUUGUAGAGACAGAGUCUCACUAUGUUGCCCAGGCUGGUCUCAAACUCCUAGGCUUAAGUGAUUUGCCCACCUCGGCCUCCCAAAAUGCCGAGAUUAUAGGCAUGAGCCAGCACACCUGGCCAAGUUAAGCUUUUCUUUGCCCUUAGAACGAGAUAAUUGUAAAAUGAAAACAUUGAGAUUAGUUUUUUUGGUCUGUAAAUCUCAUGUUACAUAUAGUUUAAAUUACAUUGAGUGUGAUUGGAAUAGAUACUAGGUAGAAAAAUAUUAUCUAGUUAAUCUAUACCACUUUCCUGUGAAAAGAGAGAAAAGAAGACACAUAUUUAUUUAACAGAGAACACAAUUCUGAUGGGCUGGAGAUGAGUCUGUGUAAGUCUAUUAACUUAUAUUUCACAAAAAAGAAUUUUUUACUUAAAAAUGUAUUUCCAACUUUAUUUUUACAUUUCAAACCUACAGAAAAGUUGACAGUGAACACUCAUAUACCCUGCACUUAAGUUCGCCAGUUGUUUUAUUUUGAAUUUUUAAAAUUUUUUUAGAGGCAGGGUCUUGCUCUCUUGCCUAGGCUAGAAUGCAGUGGUGUGAUCUCGGUUCACUGCAACCUCUGCCACCGGGCUCAAGCAAUCCUCCCGCCUAAGCCUCCUGCAUAGCUGGGACUACAGGCAUGAGCCACCAUGCCCAGCUAAUUUUUUGUAGAAAUGGGGUUUCACCAUGUUGCCCAGGCUGGUCUCGAAUGCCUGAGCUCAAUCAGUUCGCCUAACUCGGCCUCCCAGGGUGCUGGGAUUACAGGCGUGAGCCACCAUGCCCGGCCUGGAUUCACUCGUUGUUAAUAUUUGAUCACAUUUGCUUUCUUUCCAGACCAUAGGAUAAUUGUUGACAUGGCUGCAUAGCAUUCCAUUCUUUGGAUGGCCUCAGAUUUUUGAGCCACUCCUCUGUCACUGGAUAUUUGAAUGUGUUCAGAUAUUUUCGUUGUUAUAACCAGGAUGGGAUAAGUCUUUGCUGUCAAAUUUUUGUGCGGAGCCAUGAUUAUUUCCUUGUGAUAAAUUCCUAGAAGUAGAAUUUAUAGAUUUUUUUUGAGACAGAGUCUCACUUUGUUGCCAAGGCUGGAGUGUAGUGGUGUGAUCUCUGCUCAUGGCAACCUCUGCCUCCUGGUUUCAAGUGAUUCUUCUGCUUCAGCCUCUGGAGUAGCUAGGACUACGGGCACACACUACCAUGCCGCCUAGCUAAUUUUUGUAUUUUUAAUAGACACAGGGUUUCACCAUGUUGGCCAGGCUGGUCUCGAACUUGUGGCCUCAAGUGAUCUGCCCACCUCGGCCUCCCAGGGCGCUGGGAUUACAGGCAUGAGCCACCUCACCCGGCUGAAUUUAUGGAUUUAAAGGAGGUCACUGCAUUGUAAAUCAAGUGUUGAGUGACAGUGGUACGCAUAACAGUGAACCUCCUCAUCUAAGCUCUAUAUCAGGGGUCAGCAAAUUAUGGCCCCUGGUUUGCUGACCCUUUACAGUUUCCUAUAGCCUGCAAACUAGGAAUACUAUUUACAUCUUUAAAGGGCUUUAGAAAAGUAAAACUAAUAUUUUGUGACACAUCAAAAUUAUAUGAAAUUUGCAUUUUAGUGUCCAUUAAUAAAAUUUUCUUGGAACACAAGUCUCACUCAUGCGUUUACAUAUUGUCUGUUACUGCUUUCACGCUAUAAUGGCAGAGUUGAGUAGUUGCCAAAGAGACCACAUGGUAUGGACAUCCUAAAGUAUUUACUAUCUGGCCUUUUACAGAAAAGGUUUGCCAACCCCUGCUCUGUACAAUGCCUGUCACCAAUACAGAGGUUGGGGCUCUAACCAGGUGGGUCUCCCUGGCUUCCACUGGCGACCUCUUAACCUGGCUUAUGGGUGCACAUUUUCAGGCUGGUGCUUCUGGGAGAUAUGAGAGACACAGUCAGCUUGUUUCCAGCUCCAAGAUGUGAGAUGGACUGUGUCUCUUAUGUCUGCAUUUGAAUCUUCUCUCCUUUCCAUCCAACUUCCUGCCCCCAGCUCUGACUCAUAGGUCUCUGUCUUUGCCUUUUCCCAAGAAGAGCAAGAAAUGACUAAGGCCCAGGGGAGGCUGCAUUUCCCUGAUAGCUAAUGAUGUAGAACAUCUUGCCAUGUGCUUAUUUGUCAUCUACAUGUCCUUUAUGGUGAAAUGUCUCUUCACAUUCUUUGCUCAUUUACCAAAUGGAUUGCUUAAAAAAAAAAAAAACUUGAGUUUUGAGAGUUCCUUACAUAUUCUAGGUAUGAGUUCUUUGUCAGAUAUGUGGUUUGCAAAUAUUUCCUCCCAGGCUGUAGUUUGUCUUUUUGUCCUCUUAACAAGGUCUUUGUUAGAGCAAACACAUUUAAUUUUGAAGUCUAGUUUAUUGAUUUAAAAACAUUUUUUGGAUCAUGCUUUUGUUGUUGUGUCUAAGAACUCUUCACAAGCCGUAGCUCCCAAAGACGUUCUCCUGUGUUUUAUUUUUAAAGUUUUUUAAUUUUAUGUUUGACAUUUAAAUCUGUGAUCUGUUUUUAAAAAACAGCUUUAUUGAGAUGUAAUUCACAUACAAUAAAACCCACACAUUUGAAGUUUACAGUUCAGCAGUUUUUAAUAUAUUCACAGAGUUGUACAAACAUCACCACAAUCUAACUUUAUUUUUUUAAUAAUUUUUUUUUUUUUGAGACAGGGUCUCACGCUGUCACCCAGGCUGGAGUGCAGUGGUAGGAUCUUGGCUCACUACAGCCUCAACCUCUCAAACGCAAGCGAUCCUCCCUGCCUCACCCCCUCAAGUAGCUGAGACUAUAGGCAUGUGCCACCACGCCGGCUAAGUUUUGUAUUUUUUGUAGAGAUGGGGUUCCACUGUGUUACCCAGGCAGGUCUUGAACUCCUGAGCUCAUUCGAUCCACCCACCUCGGCCUCCCGAAGUACUGGGAUUACAGGCGUGAGGCACCACGCCCAGCAAUCUAGAGUAUUUUCAUCACCCCAAAUAGAACUCCUGUACCCACUCCUCAGUGUGUUCUCCCCACCCCAGCCCUAAGCAACCACAAAUUUAAUUUCAUCUGUAAAAAUUUUUGUAUUCUGCACAUUUCAAUAAAUAGAAUCAUAUACACUAUGUGGCCUUUUAUGCCUGGCUUCUUUCACUUAGUAUAAUGUUUUUAAGUUUCAUUUGUCCAUGUUAUAAUACUUAUUAGUACUUUAUUCCUUUCUAGGGCUGAAUAAUAGUCCCUUGUGCAUAUAUGCCACAUUUUGUUUAUUUCUCUUACCAAUUUCAGUAAAAUGUAAAGUCCUUACUCCUUUUAAGUCCCUUUUCCUCCCCCUUUAUAACAUUAAAUGUUAAAUAAAUAUUUCCUCUCUCUAUAUUGGGAAUCAUCUCAAUGUUGUAAUUUAUACUUCAACCAUCAAGCACCAUUUAAUAAACUUGAGAGGGAAAAUAAAGUCUAUUUAUUGAUAUUUUUGCUCCUUUUGUUGUUUUCCUUUCUGAUGUUCCAAGAUUCCUUCUUAUAUCAUUGCCCUUCUGUUGUAAGGAUUUUCUUUAGCCAUUCUUUCAAGGUAAGUCUGCUGGUAACACAUUCUCUUAGUUUUCCUUCAUCUGAGAAUGUCUUAAUCUCACCAUCAUUCCUAAGGACAUUUCUGCCAGCUAAAGAAUUCUUGGUUGGUAUUCCUUUUAUGUCAUCUCUUGAAAACUGUUGUGCCACUUCCUUCUGGCUUCCAUGUUUUCCAAUGAGAAAUUCACUGUCAUUAAAAUUAUUUUUCUUAUGUAGAUAAGAUGUCGUUUCCUCCUGCUUUCAAGAAUUUUUAUUUGUCUUUAGGCCAGGCAUAAUGGCUUGUAAUCCCAGCAUUUUGGGAGGCUGAGGUGGGCAGAGCACUUGAGGUCAGGCGCUCAAGACUAGACUGGCCAAUAUGGUGAAAUUCCCAUCUCUACUAAAAAUACAAAAAUUAGCUGGGCGUGGAGGCACGUGCCUGUAAUCCCAGCUACUCAGGAGGCUGAGGCAGGAGAAUCGCUGGAACCCAGGAGGCAGAGGUUGCAGUGAGCCGAGAUCAUGCCCCUGCACUCCAGCCUGGGCAACAGAGCAAGACUCUGUCUCAAGAAAAAAAAAGAAAAAAAUUUUCUUUGACUUUAGUUUUCAGAAGUUUGACUCUGAUGUGCCUCAGCAUGGAUUUCUUUACGUUUAUCCUGUUUAGGGUUUGCUUAGCCUUUUGAAUCUGUAUUCAACAGGUUUAUAUUUUUAGCCAAAUAUGGCAAAAUUUCAGACAUUGUUUCUUUGAAUACUUUUUCAGCUCUUUCCUCUUUCUUCUCUUUUCUGGACUUUGAUAACACAAAUGAUCGAAUAUUUGGUUCCACUAGUCCCUGAGGCUCUAUUCAUUGGUUUUCAGUCUACUUUUCUCUGCUGUUUGGAGUAAUUUCUAUUGUUCUAUCUUCAUGAUUCGUGAUUCUUUCUUGUGUCCUCUUCAUUCUGCCUUUGAACCCAUUCACUGAGCUUUCGAUUCAGUUAUUGUGAGACAAAGUACCAUAUGUAAGAAGCUAUGUUUGCUCAUUCGGCUUACCAGCAGAAUUUCACAAAAUCCCUUAUCAGUGGAAUUUUACAAAGCCCCUGACUCAGUGACUCAGCACCACCCACUGGAAGAAUGUUCUGAAGAUGAUCAGCAGUAUGGAGGACAGCCUGCCAUGUCCCUUGUGUGAAUCACAGCAGUUUUAGAAAGGAUAAGUUCAGCGAUCCUAAUCCUGGCCUCUUCCUAUACAGAAGAUAACAGGAUUAUCUGACCGGAUUAAUAAUUAGGCCUCUGUAGUCUAUAACCAGAUGUGCCCUCAUACCCAAGCCU
rnacentral:lncRNA from 1 species